rnacentral:rRNA from 1 species
UACGUAGGUGGCAAGCGAUACUCGGAAUCACUAGGCGUAAAGCGCAGGUAGGCGGCUUGUCGCGUCGACUGUGAAAACCCGCGGCUCAACUGCGGGCCUGCAGUCGAUACGGGCAGGCUAGAGUUCGGUAGGGGAGACUGGAAUUCCUGGUGUAGCGGUGAAAUGCGCAGAUAUCAGGAGGAACACCGGUGGCGAAGGCGGGUCUCUGGGCCGAUACUGACGCUGAGGAGCGAAAGCGUGGGGAGCGAACAGG